UACGGAGGGGGCUAGCGUUGCUCGGAAUCACUGGGCGUAAAGGGUGCGUAGGCGGGUCUUUAAGUCAGGGGUGAAAUCCUGGAGCUCAACUCCAGAACUGCCUUUGAUACUGAAGAUCUUGAGUUCGGGAGAGGUGAGUGGAACUGCGAGUGUAGAGGUGAAAUUCGUAGAUAUUCGCAAGAACACCAGUGGCGAAGGCGGCUCACUGGCCCGGUACUGACGCUGAGGUGCGAAAGCGUGGGUAGCAAACGGG
rnacentral:rRNA from 1 species